UCGAAUGAAAAGUUCCUCGAGUUUUUCUAGUAGUCGAGUGAACAUUCUAUUGUGCGUAUAUAUUUAGUGUGUGUACACAUAAGCUUUACAGUGUUAGCAAAGAAGCUGUCACACCCGCUCUUUGUGAACAUUAAUAUCUACCCAGCAACUGUUAAUUCCCGCGAGAGAAACUAGGCGCAUUUUUGUCGACCCAAGGGUCACACACAACUUUAGUCUACCAACAUUCCUAAUGGCACGUCACAUUAAGCAGCUAAUGGGUCACGAAUUAGUGCCUGGAUAUGACUGCAUCCUAAAUUUGUUGCAAAUAAUUUCAACUUAUGUCAAAGUACUUAAAAAAAAACACAAACUCGCCAUUCGGCUGAAUAUUGAUACUUAUAAAUUCCAUCUUAAAAUCAGGCUCCUUUCAAUACAUUCACUAUCCUCUUGUUCCAUUGCCGGUUUUACUGUCAGAGGUGACAAAAAGAUGGGACCCCUCCUGAAAUCUUGACAUCUUGACCCCCGGGUCUCGACACUUCAGAGCCGGAGCAAGCUUGGGAACCAUAACAUCAUUCGCGGUCAGCAAUUAACUUUCUGCAGUUUGAGCAGUUGGGAUGGGAAACUACGUGGAGUCCAUUCCUGUCAUUGUCACAGAUCCGGACAAAAUUCUAAAGUCAGAAAAGCUGUUUUUAAAACUAGCAGCCACGAGUCAUUCCAAGUGCCGAGUGUGACAAAGAGAAGAAUGAAGUAAAAUAGCUUUGUCGUACUAUUUGUACUUAGUUGGCAAAAACAGAUGUUGAGGAUACUAAUCAAUCGUAUUGCUAAGUCUCUCCUUAAUCAUGGUGAAUGCAUUUGUCGCUUGCCCGUCACACGGUAUUUUGAUUUUUUUUUAACCCAAAAAAAACGUCAACACAAUAUUCCGCCAACAGGGAAUCCAUUCGCAAUUUUCACUUCUUCCCGAAAUACGCGCGUUCUGGCUCCCAAUUUUAUAAAGCGUUGGGGGGGGAGGGGGGAGGAACUCAAGCUCGCUGACUGUAUUGUACAGAACAGGUAAACCAUAUCAGAAUAGUUUUGACAUUAAAUUAGCUGUAAACAUGUUUGUUACUUACUUUGUCCCUAAGUGCAGUUUAUUUCAUGGUUAUUUGCAGUUAGGCCCCUGAGCAGCGCGCAGAAGUAACAGUAAAAUAUCCAGCAAGGCACAGAAUCGGAGGUGAGUUUAUCAGGCCUUCGGGAUUCUCUUAAGGGGCUGUUGAAGGAUCAGCCGAACUCGCGAUACUGCCAUUCACCCUACAACGAAAGGACAAUGAAUACCUUUCAGACGACUUGUUUCUGAAGGAGAAGUUGCCACAAGUGGGGACAAAUAAACCUACACUGAACGGUUUUAUUUAUUUUUUAAAGCAGCUAACAGGUUCCAAAUCACAUCCGAACGCUUUCACUGUGCAAACCGGUCACAGCACAAAACAUUCACUCAGAUGUAUCUUUUUUUUUGCCACUAUAUAUAUACAUUGCAGAAUGGUAACGCUUCACUGGAAGCGAAUUUUAACGUUGAAAACGUUACAACAGAAUUCAGAAAUAACCCCAUAACAUGGCUCGCCAUUUGUGCCUUCCGUAUCACUUUGUAAAACUCCACCGCCGUGUGUACAUUUGUAAAGCAGCCCCCCAGCAUUGCUUUACAGAUACAUACACGGACAGUCUGUCCCUUCCGUGUAAAUGGAGAGUGUCCCCUUGCGGUCGGCUGCAGAUUUGCAAGUCUGCUGGCGAAUCCUUAUGACAAAGGGAAAGGAAUACAUUUGAAAGUGUAGCAAACGCCAAGUGGUAUAUAAAGCUAAAGAUAUCAUGGAUGGAGGGGGGAAGCAGGGCUGUGGUGAACUGCGUUUACUUUGGAAUGAUAAGUUAGCACCCCUGUUGCGAUGUAAAUUGACACCCCAUUUCUCACAGGAGAGAUAUUUGUGCAAUUAACAUGUACGGCUAUGGUACUAUAAACACACAUUACAUAUAUACGUGAACAUCCCAUCGAGCACCAGAUCUCUCUCAUGUUUUACAUACAUAAAACACGCGAUUUGGUUAGUGCUCGGCGGCUACCUAAUACGUUGUGUAAAAAAGACUGGCUUUACAUCUAACAUGUGUGUAUUCUGUAUGUAGAGUGUGCUUUAUAGCAUAAGGCACUUUCCGUUACAAUCCAAAUCCAUAUAUUACAACGAUUUGUUUUUGUUAUCACUUGCAGAUUAUAAAAUGUAAAUUC